rnacentral:lncRNA from 1 species
GGCAGGGCGGGUCCAGCCCUCCGUGGGCCAGGGCGGGCCAGGUCGGCAGGUUCACACGCUGAGACAGAGGGAGAGAGCCUGCAUAAUGGGGCUUUGUCCUGGCUCCUCCGAGCCCAGCCGGGCGGGAGCCAGAGGCUGCAAAGCCCUGGGCGGCCAGGGCUCAGCCCACGUGCACGACGCCACCUUCCAGCUCCAGGGAGCCUUGUUCCGGGGCCAGGAGGGCAGCCGGGCCCAGGGGCCACCUGUGUAGGGGAUGCCACAAGGCAGCACUGCUCCCAGGCCAUCUGCAUACAGAAGAACAUAAAGGGGACCAAGGAGAGGAGAUCACAGCCCUGAUCGGGAGCCAGGGCCCACUCGGCUGUCUUCUGAGAAACGAAAUCGACCAACGGACAAAAUCUUGUAAAUAUUCCAGCCAUUCACUUAUCCAGCAUAAUUACCCUGCACAGAGCAC